GGUCAAGUCAGGACAUGCCCUAUGAAGUCAGAAGCUUCUAGAAGGACCUCUAUCGUCUUCAUCACCAAGAUGGGAUCUACAGUAUGUUUGUACAAAGCUUGCGUUUACCUUAAACUGAAGUCUCAACUGAAGACAACCAAAGAUCUGGGUUUACGUUAUCAACUGUAGCAGGGGGAUGUGCUGCUCAGUGAUGAGAUGGAAUCAGAAGCAAGCAACCAUGGUGUUUCCUGUCCCGUUUUGACAUGAAAUUAAACACAAGUCCAGAUGUUUGGCCUGAAACACAGCCAGGGAAACCUGCGCGGGCAUUUAAUCAAAGCUGGGAAAGGAGAAACUGCAAUAAAGCCUGUGCCCCUUGAAA